GACUCAGUGGUCUAGCGGUUAUGAUAUCUGUCUAACAUAGUUUGAUGUGGUCGUCGAGUUCACAGAUGGUUCCAGGUUCAAUUCCUGGCUGAGUCA